GAGUUGUGGUGUUUUCUCUUUUUCCCGUUGUUGAGAUGUUGAGAAAAUUUCUGUCCAGAAUUGUUGAUUCACACUAUUUGCUGAUUCGGUUUGGUAUGCAUUGGUUUUGAAAUUAAAACUGAUUUCGGUUCGGUUUCAUUGGUUUUGUUGAAAAAAACUAAAAGAGUCACGCGAUGGAGAAUUUGGAGAGAUGUGCGUCGAUAAAAAAAGUCAUGAAUUGGAAAGGUCACCGGAAGUUGGAAUUUCGUUUGUGAUAGGAUCUAAACAAGUAUCAAAGUCUACAAAUGCUGGAUUAAGCAAGUUAAAGCCUUUGUGAUUCCCCUGUAUCUUCAACAACGUCGUCUUCAAAACUUUAUCCAAAGACAUCUGUGGAUAGCCAUAACAAGCCACAGUUACAUUAUACAGGAAAGAACCUCAUUGACCUGACAGGUUCUGAGAGCUCAAAGGCUGAAACCAGUGGUUUAAGGCGCAAGGAAAGGUCUUAUAUAAAUAAAGCUUUGCUGACUUUAGGGACUGUGAGUUCUUGGUUAUCAUUGUUUUCCCCCAAGCGACAAUAGUUUUUCGAAUUUAAGAACCUUUUUUGCAAGUUGGAUCGUUCUUUUGCAAAUUUGUAGGUACUUGUUAUAGUA